GAUGAACGCUGGCGGCGUGCCUAAUACAUGCAAGUCGAGCGAACAGACGAGGAGCUUGCUCCUCUGACGUUAGCGGCGGACGGGUGAGUAACACGUGGAUAACCUACCUAUAAGACUGGGAUAACUUCGGGAAACCGGAGCUAAUACCGGAUAAUAUAUUGAACCGCAUGGUUCAAUAGUGAAAGACGGUUUUGCUGUCACUUAUAGAUGGAUCCGCGCCGCAUUAGCUAGUUGGUAAGGUAACGGCUUACCAAGGCGACGAUGCGUAGCCGACCUGAGAGGGUGAUCGGCCACACUGGAACUGAGACACGGUCCAGACUCCUACGGGAGGCAGCAGUAGGGAAUCUUCCGCAAUGGGCGAAAGCUUGACGGAGCAACGCCGCGUGAGUGAUGAAGGUCUUCGGAUCGUAAAACUCUGUUAUUAGGGAAGAACAAAUGUGUAAGUAACUAUGCACGCCUUGACGGUACCUAAUCAGAAAGCCACGGCUAACUACGUG
rnacentral:rRNA from 1 species